rnacentral:rRNA from 1 species
UACAGAGGUCCCGAGCGUUGUUCGGAUUCACUGGGCGUAAAGGGUGCGUAGGUGGUGGGAUAAGUCGGAUGUGAAAUCUCGGAGCUUAACUCCGAAACUGCAUUGGAAACUGUCCUGCUAGAGGGUUGGAGGGGGGACUGGAAUACUUGGUGGUAGCAGUGAAAUGCGUAGAUAUCAAGUGGAACACCGGUGGCGAAGGCGAGUCCCUGGACAACACCUGACACUGAGGCACGAAAGCUAGGGGAGCAAACAGG